UACGGGGGGGGCAAGCGUUGUUCGGAAUUACUGGGCGUGAAGGGCUCGUAGGCGGCCAACUAAGUCAGACGUGAAAUCCCCAGGCUCAACCUGGGAACUGCAUCUGAUACUGAUUGGCUUGAAUCCGGGAGAGGGAUGCAGAAUUCCAGGUGUAGCGGUGAAAUGCGUAGAUAUCUGGAGGAAUACCGGUGGCGAAGGCGGCAUCCUGGACCGGCAUUGACGCUGAGGAGCGAAAGCCAGGGGAGCAAACGGG
rnacentral:rRNA from 1 species